AUCUCCGGUGGAGACUGCCGAAAUACAAUGGCACGAGUGUUUGUCUCACGCAGUGAAAUGCCGAAGGACGGGCACGAGUGCUCCAACAAGCCCACAAUGGUCGACCUCGGAUCAGGUAAGAUUACCCGCUGAACUUAAGCAUAUCAAUAAGCGGAGGAAAAGAAACCAACAGGGAUUGCCCUAGUAACGGCGAGUGAAGCGGCAAAAGCUCAAAUUUGAAAUCUGGCCGCAAGGUCCGAGUUGUAAUUUGAAGAGGAAUGUUCGGCGAGACGCAGACCCGAGUCUUCUGGAAGGAAGCGCCACUGAGGGUGAGAGCCCCGUAGGGUCGGAAGUCGAGCCAUGUGAACGUCCUUCGAAGAGUCGAGUUGUUUGGGAAUGCAGCUCCAAGCGGGUGGUAAAUUCCAUCUAAAGCUAAAUACUGGCCAGAGACCGAUAGCGCACAAGUAGAGUGAUCGAAAGAUGAAAAGCACUUUGGAAAGAGAGUGAAACAGUACGUGAAAUUGUUGAAAGGGAAGCGCAAGCAAUCAGACUUGGGCGCCGGGUUCCGCCGUCCUUGUGGGCGGUGUACUCCCGUGCGCACGGGCCAGCAUCAGUUUUGGCGGCUGGAGAAAGGCGUGGGGAACGUAGCUCCUCCUCGGAGGAGUGUUAUAGCCCGUCGCAGAAUACAGCCAGCCGGGACUGAGGAUAGCGUUCGCUAGGAUGCUGGCGUAAUGGUUGUUUGCGGCCCGUCUUGAAACACGGACCAAGGAGUCUAACGCCUAUGCGAGUGUUUGGGUGGCAAACCCACACGCGGAAUGAAAGUGAACGGAGGUGUGAGCUUCGGCGCAACAUCGACCGAUCCGGACGUCCUCUGAAGGAUUUGAGUAUGAGCAUAGUUGUUGGGACCCGAAAGAUGGUGAACUAUACGUGGAUAGGGCGAAGUCAGGGGAAACCCUGAUGGAGGCUCGCAGACGUUCUGACGUGCAAAUCGAUGUUCAAAUCAGCGUAUAGGGGCGAAAGACUUAUCGAACCAUCUAGUAGCUGGUUCCUGCCGAAGUUUCCCUCAGGAUAGCAGUAACGAAUUCAGUUUUAUGAGGUAAAGCGAAUGAUUAGAGGCCUGGGGGUUGAAACAACCUUCACCUAUUCUCAAACUUUAAAUAUGUAAGAAGCUCUUGUCGCUUAGUUGGACGUGAGCAUUUGAAUGAACGUUAUUAGUGGGCCUUUUUUGGUAAGCAGAACAGGCGAUGCGGGAUGAACCGAACGCGUGGUUAAGGUGCCGGAAUAUACGCUCAUCAGACACCACAAAAAGUGUUAGUGCAUCCAGACAGCAGGACGGUGGCCAUGGAAGUCGGAAUCCGCUAAGGAGUGUGUAACAACUCACCUGCCGAAUGCACUAGCCUUGAAAAUGGAUGGCGCUCAAGCGUAUUACCCAUACCACGCCGCCCGCUCAGAAAUGACGAGCGGGCGAGUAGGCAGGCGUGGAGGUUUGUGACGAAGCCUUGGG
rnacentral:rRNA from 1 species